rnacentral:lncRNA from 1 species
UUUUUUUUUUUUUUUUUUUUUAGAGAGAAAAAAAUAGCUUGCUACCCGUUUCGUUUAUUUCAUUUAGAAAUAAACUUAGUCGGAGAUGUGAAUCAACUAAGAUUCGAACUUAGGUCUCGAGUACCAACCACUAAACCCUUUUGCCACUUGCGUUAGAGACGGUCCGUUAACCAUACUAUUUGUUGAUGAGCAUUGCCCCUUAUCUGAAAAAUUCUAGAAUGCAACCUGUAUAUUGGUGACGUGGUGUAAUAAACUAAUCAAAAAUCUCCUUUUAGAGAUAUAUGUCCCAUUAUAAUUAAAAAAAAAAUUUAUUGUACUUUUGUUUGAAAAGAAAAAAUGUGAUUGUCUUGUUAUUGAUGACAUUAUGCAAGUGUGAUAGUGUAGAAUUAAUUCCUCCCCUUAUCUUAUUAUUUUUUUCAAAAAAUUAAUAGCUAAAAUAA